UGGGGAAUAUUGCACAAUGGGCGCAAGCCUGAUGCAGCCAUGCCGCGUGUGUGAAGAAGGCCUUCGGGUUGUAAAGCACUUUCAGCGAGGAGGAAGGUGGUGAGCUUAAUACGCUCAUCAAUUGACGUUACUCGCAGAAGAAGCACCGGCUAACUCCGUGCCAGCAGCCGCGGUAAUACGGAGGGUGCAAGCGUUAAUCGGAAUUACUGGGCGUAAAGCGCACGCAGGCGGUUUGUUAAGUCAGAUGUGAAAUCCCCGGGCUCAACCUGGGAACUGCAUUUGAAACUGGCAAGCUAGAGUCUCGUAGAGGGGGGUAGAAUUCCAGGUGUAGCGGUGAAAUGCGUAGAGAUCUGGAGGAAUACCGGUGGCGAAGGCGGCCCCCUGGACGAAGACUGACGCUCAGGUGCGAAAAGCGUGGGGCAGCAAACAGGAUUAGAUACCCUGGUAGUCCACGCUGUAAAACGAUGUCGAUUUUGGAGGUUGUGCCCUUGAGGCGUGGCUUCCGGAGCUAACGCGUUAAAUCGACCGCCUGGGGAGUACGGCCGCAAGGUUAAAACUCAAAGGAAUUG
rnacentral:rRNA from 1 species